CACUUCCUAGCCACUUCCCAGUGCUAUUUCUAAGUGUUCUGAAUCUUUUAUUUCCUUCCCACAGUCACCUUAUGAGUAGGUGUGGGGUUGAAAAGAGAAAAGGAGUCUAGAGAAGAGCUGAGAGGAAGAAGAUGGAAGACCGCUGAGCUCUAUCUUUCCCACCUGUCUGUCCCCAGUGCCUACCACACUCGCAAGAGAAGAAUGAUGAAGGGGUCAGAGAGGAGGGGAUGAGAAAGGCAGGCCUCCCCCAUUUAUAUUUUAGUCUGGCCACUCAGGUCAUCACUUAUUGCUGGCUCACCCAUGCUCCUGAGGAAUGGCAAUGUCCGCUUCCUUUGUCUGCCAUGUCUUUUCUCUGCGUAGACACCUGAUAACAUCCU
rnacentral:lncRNA from 1 species